UAACGCGUGAGGAACCUGCCUUUCAGAGGGGGACAACAGUUGGAAACGACUGCUAAUACCGCAUAACACAUAGGUGUCGCAUGGCAUUUAUGUCAAAGAUUUAUCGCUGAAAGAUGGCCUCGCGUCUGAUUAGCUAGUUGGUAGGGUAACGGCCUACCAAGGCGACGAUCAGUAGCCGGACUGAGAGGUUGGCCGGCCACAUUGGGACUGAGAUACGGCCCAGACUCCUACGGGAGGCAGCAG
rnacentral:rRNA from 1 species